rnacentral:rRNA from 1 species
UGGGCUUGACAUGUCCGGAAUUCUGCGGAGAUGCGGGAGUGCCCUCCGGGGAAUCGGAACAC